rnacentral:rRNA from 1 species
GAUCAUGGCUCAGGAUGAACGCUGGCGGCGUGCCUAACACAUGCAAGUCGAACGGAAUUUACAUGAAGCCUAGCGAUUGUAAAUUUAGUGGCGGACGGGUGAGUAACGCGUGGGUAACCUGCCUUGUACUGGGGGACAACAGUUGGAAACGACUGCUAAUACCGCAUAAGCGCACUGCUUCGCAUGAAGCAGUGUGAAAAACUCCGGUGGUACAAGAGCGGCCGCU